rnacentral:misc_RNA from 1 species
AGCAGCCGCGGUAAUUCCAGCUCCAAUAGCGUAUAUUAAAGUUGUUGCAGUUAAAAAGCUCGUAGUUGAAUUUCGGGAUCAAUAUGCUGGUCGUGCCAUUGGUACGUACUAGUAUUAUUGGUUUCUCCUUUCUGAUGAAUCAUGAUGUCAUUAAUUUGAUGUCAUGAGGAAUCAGGACUGUUACUUUGAAAAAAUUAGAGUGUUUAAAGCAGGCUCGCGCUUGAAUACAUUAGCAUGGAAUAAUGAAGUAGGAUGUUUGAUUCUAUUUUGUUGGUUUCUAGGAUUGACGUAAUGAUUAAUAGGGAUAGUUGGGGGCAUUAGUAUUCAAUUGUCAGAGGUGAAAUUCUUGGAUUUAUUGAAGACUAACUACUGCGAAAGCAUUUGCCAAGGAUGUUUUCAUUAAUCAAGAACGAAAGUUAGGGGAUCGAAGACGAUCAGAUACCGUCGUAGUCUUAACCAUAAACUAUGCCGACUAGGGAUCGGAUGAUGUUAAUUUUUUAAUGACUCAUUCGGCGCCUUA